AUACCACAAUUAAGAAAACAUAAACUAAUUCCUAAAAUAACUAGAUUCCUAAUUGGUGUUGGUAUUCCAUGUUUUAUAAGGAGAUAAAAGAAUAAUAUAACACUUAAAGAAUGAUCGUAAUUCUCCUAGAAUUUUCUUAAAAUCUCAAGUCGUGGCUAGUAAACCCAGCAGAAGACCACGAUCCCCACCUGAUGAGAUAAGUCCCCAGUUCAUCCAAUUCCUGCAGUUCCUCCCACCUCCCUCAACUCUCCUCUUUCUUCGAUUAUGGUUGCUAUAAAAACAUUUUCUAAAAUUAGAUCUUCUGAUUUUGAUUUUCUGAAACUAGGGUUUUUUAAGUAGUAAUUCUAUAUGUCUGAAUCAACCUAAUUUCGUUCCAGCUUCAGUUUUUUUACUGCUUUAGAAUUUAUAUCUUCUUUAAUUUGAACUGUUUUAUGAUAUCGGGUCAGAUUUGGAAGAAGGAAAUCCAUCAAUUUCUUCAUUCUCUGCAAGACAUCAUCGAUUUUAUCUGCACAAGCUGGAAAUAUGGAUGAAAACCCACAACCUCCGGCAGCAAAGGAAGUAAUAGGAGGGGUCAAGUUGAACUUCCUUAAUAAGCUGAAAAAGGUUGAGAAAGUAUCACUGGAAUUUUGCUGGGGCGCACCAGUUGGACCGAACGCAAAUAAGAUCUCGGCUUACUGUGGAAAGCUGGCACUAAAUGGAGAAAACUUCCCUUUUGACAUUCCAGACUGGUCUGAUAUGCCCACAAGGAAGAAAAUCUUGAAGAAUCCAUUGAAGAGUUGAAGGUUAAGAAAAUAAUAUAUUAAAUUAUUUAAUUGAUUUAAGAUUACUAAAUUUUAAGUGAUGAAUGUUGUAGGAUAUUUUUCAUUAUUCUUAUGAGAUCAACUUUUGGGUGGAGGAGAAAAUCCAUGAAAAAUGGAAGGCAGGCAAACGUAACAUGAGGUUGAAAUAUUUCGAUGAGAAGAAGACUGAUGCACAAAACUUAGCCACGGGACUAUUUGUCACGAGGAGGCUUCCGUGGCAAGUGACCUUUUGCCACGGAUUUUUGUCAACUGCCACGGUUUUUUGGCGUGACUAAAACUUAGUAUUUUAGUAGUGGUUAAGCUUGAGACUAUGGCUUGAAUUUCAUGACGCAUCAGCUUGAAGAUUCAAACAUACAUCUGGAAUGGUGUUCAGAUUCUAAGCAGUAUGUCAAGUUUGAUCCAACGGUGAUGAUACCUGUGCUUGUUGAUGUAUAAUGUUUGUAAUCAUUUGUAUUGAUAAAUUUGUACGUUCAUUACAUCAUAACCCAAUAUAGUGAAUAGAAAAUAAGCUUUCUGCACUUUGCAGAAAGUUAAGAGUAUACUUAAAGUGUGAAUCUCAUUGAAAAAGGCUGACUAGCUUAUCUUUCAACUUUCGGGAUCCUCCCUCAUUCAGUUGUUCAAAAGCCGUGCAGACUCAACAUUCUUUCAUUAUGGAAUUUCGCGCUGAAUGAUGCACAAAACAUGACUAGACCUCUUUGUUCUGGGUCUAGUACAGCAGCAAGAGAAGUGAGCAGAUUUUAUGCACCAAAUCCCUCUUGGAAUUCGUAGGGGAGUUGUCCAGUGAUUCAAGAAUAAUUAUGCACCCAGGUGGUAGAGUGUAUUGUUCAA